UAAUAGCGUUAUGCUUAAGGUUCCUCUGCGCUAGAGGAUUAAAAAGGGGAAGUCGGCGAAAGUCCGACGCGGUCCCGCCACUGUAAACAAGGAGUUCUCAUUUAUCCCGCGAGUUAUUACCAUGAUGGGUAGAGAAUGAUGAUAUGAAGCCAGAAAACCUGCCUUGAGAAAUAUCACAGA
rnacentral:ncRNA from 2 species